rnacentral:rRNA from 1 species
CNACCUGCCCACCACUUGGGGAUAACCUUGCGAAAGUAAGACUAAUACCCAAUGAUAUCUCUANNNNACAUNUGAAAGAGAUUAAAGAUUCAUCGGUGAUGGAUGGGGAUGCGUCCGAUUAGCUUGUUGGCGGGGUAACGGCCCACCAAGGCGACGAUCAGUAGGGGUUCUGAGAGGAAGGUCCCCCACAUUGGAACUGAGACACGGUCCAAACUCCUACGGGAGGCAGCAGUGAGGAAUAUUGGUCAAUGGACGAGAGUCUGAACCAGCCAAGUAGCGUGCAGGAUGACGGCCCUAUGGGUUGUAAACUGCUUUUAUAAGGGAAUAAAGUGAGUCUCGUGAGACUUUUUGCAUGUACCUUAUGAAUAAGGACCGGCUAAUUCCGUGCCAGCAGCCGCGGUAAUACGGAAGGUCCGGGCGUUAUCCGGAUUUAUUGGGUUUAAAGGGAGCGUAGGCCGGAGAUUAAGCGUGUUGUGAAAUGUAGACGCUCAACGUCUGCACUGCAGCGCGAACUGGUUUCCUUGAGUACGCACAAAGUGGGCGGAAUUCGUGGUGUAGCGGUGAAAUGCUUAGAUAUCACGAAGAACUCCGAUUG